UACGUAGGGUGCAAGCGUUGUCCGGAAUUACUGGGCGUAAAGGGCUCGUAGGCGGCCAACUAAGUCAUACGUGAAAUCCCUCAGCUUAACUGGGGAACUGCGUGUGAUACUGGAUGGCUUGGAUUUGGGAGAGGGAUGCGGAAUUCCAGGUGUAGCGGUGAAAUGCGUAGAUAUCUGGAGGAACACCGGUGGCGAAGGCGGGUCUCUGGGCCGAUACUGACGCUGAGGAGCGAAAGCGUGGGGAGCGAACAGG
rnacentral:rRNA from 1 species